CCUACGGGCGGCAGCAGUGAGGAAUAUUGGUCAAUGGACGAGAGUCUGAACCAGCCAAGUAGCGUGAAGGAUGACUGCCCUAUGGGUUGUAAACUUCUUUUAUAUGGGAAUAAAACGUUCCACGUGUGGGAUUUUGUAUGUACCAUAUGAAUAAGGAUCGGCUAACUCCGUGCCAGCAGCCGCGGUAAUACGGAGGAUCCGAGCGUUAUCCGGAUUUAUUGGGUUUAAAGGGAGCGUAGGUGGAUUGUUAAGUCAGUUGUGAAAGUUUGCGGCUCAACAGUAAAAUUGCAGUUGAAACUGGCAGUCUUGAGUACAGUAGAGGUGGGCGGAAUUCGUGGUGUAGCGGUGAAAUGCGUAGAUAUCACGAAGAACUCCGAUUGCGAAGGCAGUUCACUGGACUGCAACUGACACUGAGGCUCGAAAGUGUGGGUAUCAAACAGGAUUAGAUACCCGAGUAGUC
rnacentral:rRNA from 1 species